AGCGCGGAGAGGUGCGUCGGUCGCACAUCGGCCUCAUAAGCCGCCGUUAGCCGGUUCGACUCCGGUCUCCGCUAC
rnacentral:tRNA from 1 species